rnacentral:hammerhead_ribozyme from 1 species
AUCCAACCGACGAGUCCCAAAUAGGACAAAACGCACGUCCUAGAU